rnacentral:lncRNA from 1 species
GGCGGGAGGCGGGCUUCGCCGGUUGCCAGGAGAACUCGCGACAACAAAAGACGCGGACGGCGGCUGCGCGGUGUGGCAGAGCGAAGCUGAGGAGUCCAGCGCUCGCCGACAGGGGCCUGGGCUGUCCCGAGCCGGGUCUCGCUCUGUUACUCAGGCUGGAGUGCAGUGGCACACUGCAGCCUCAACCUCCCGGGCUCAAGCGAUCCUCCAAUCUCAGCCUCCCAAGUAGCUGGGACUACAGGAGGGAUCCUCUCGCUUCAGCCUUCUGAGUAGCUGGGAUUACAGGCGCACGCCACCAUGCCUGCCUAAUUUUUGUAUUUUUAGUAGAGACAGGGUUUCUCCAUGUUGCCCAGGCUGGUCUCGAACUCCUGGGCUCAAGUGAUCCACCCGCCCUGGCCUCCCAAAGUGCUGGGAUUACAGAUGUGAACCACCGUGCUGGGCCAUGGUUUUUUUUUUUUCAAGGGUAGUGAAUAUUAUCAAUUCAUUGUUGUUAGUGUUAUUAAUAAAAUAUUAUUUCAGUCUAGUUGUCUGUGUUACUUAAUGGUAAUCUUCAAGACUCAGCAGCUUUUCCAAAGAACCUAACCUCACCUCAAAUUCAUUACUUUUCAUCAUCUGCACUCAAACAUUGUCAUAGAUUACUUGUUAAAUUUUGUAUAAGCUUUAUCCUUCCAAAACUGAACAUUUGUAUGUAAGUUUUUAUGCGAACACAAUGUUUUCAUUUCUCUUGGGAGUGGAAUUGCUGGAUCAUUUGAUGGAGUGGAAUUGCUGGGUCAAGAGAUAACUGUAUGUUUAACUUUUUGCAGAAAUGUCAGUCUGUUUUCCAAAGUGGCUAUACCAUUUUACCUUCCCAC